rnacentral:rRNA from 1 species
UACAGAGGUCUCAAGCGUUGUUCGGAUUUAUUGGGCGUAAAGAGCGUGUAGGCGGCCAGACAGGUCCGUUGUGAAAACUCGAGGCUCAACCUCGAGAUGUCGAUGGAAACCGUCUGGCUAGAGUCCGGAAGAGGAGUGUGGAAUUCCUGGUGUAGCGGUGAAAUGCGCAGAUAUCAGGAAGAACACCUAUGGCGAAGGCAGCACUCUGGGACGGUACUGACGCUGAGACGCGAAAGCGUGGGGAGCGAACAGG